rnacentral:rRNA from 1 species
CCUACGGGUGGCAGCAGUGGGGAAUAUUGGUCAAUGGACGCAAGUCUGAACGAGCCAUGCCGCGUGCGGGAAGACGGCUCUAUGAGUUGUAAACUGCUUUUGUACGAGGGUAAACGCAGAUACGCAUAUCUGUAUGAAAGUAUGGUACGAAUAAGGAUAGGCGAACCCCGUUCCAGCAGCCGCGGUAAUGCGGAGGAUUCAAGCGUUAUCUGGAUUUAUUGGGUUUAAAGUGUGCGUAGACGGUCGGAUAAGUUAGAUGUGAAAUCCCGAGGCUCAACUUCGGAAUUGCCUCUGAUACUGUUCGGCUAGAGAGUAGAUGCGGUAGGCGGAAUGUAUGGUGUAGCGGUGAAAUGCUUAGAGAUCAUACAGAACACCGAUUGCGAAGGCAGCUUACCAAGCUACUUCUGACGUUGAGGUACGAAAGCGUGGGGAGCAAACAGGAUUAGAUACCCGAGUAGUC